GACGAACGCUGGCGGCGUGCUUAACACAUGCAAGUCGAACGGAAAGGCCCUGCUUUUGUGGGGUGCUCGAGUGGCGAACGGGUGAGUAACACGUGAGUAACCUGCCCUUGACUUUGGGAUAACUUCAGGAAACUGGGGCUAAUACCGGAUAGGAGCUCCUGCUGCAUGGUGGGGGUUGGAAAGUUUCGGCGGUUGGGGAUGGACUCGCGGCUUAUCAGCUUGUUGGUGGGGUAGUGGCUUACCAAGGCUUUGACGGGUAGCCGGCCUGAGAGGGUGACUGGCCACAUUGGGACUGAGAUACGGCCUAGACUCCUACGGGAGGCAGCAGUGGGGAAUAUUGCACAAUGGGCGGAAGCCUGAUGCAGCAACGCCGCGUGCGGGAUGACGGCCUUCGGGUUGUAAACCGCUUUCGCCUGUGACGAAGCGUGAGUGACGGUAAUGGGUAAAGAAGCACCGGCUAACUACGUG
rnacentral:rRNA from 1 species